GUGUUCCCUGGAGUUCCCCUGAACACUUCACCGGGUGGGGCUAUUUUAAGACUCUUAGCCGAGGAAACUUUAUCUUACUGAAGCGUUUGGGGGAACUCUAGGUGAUGU
rfam:Gossypium hirsutum cultivar TM-1 chromosome 2, whole genome shotgun sequence